AGGAAUCUAUGAACUAGUCUGCCCUAAAAUGUACCUGAGGGGACCUAUUGCUCACAGGAAGAAAACAACAUCGUCCUUAUUUAGUGACUUCUGGCAACUGUCUUUUUCCGAGGAAGCCCCUUCCCUUCUGCCCUGCCUCUGAGUUCAAGCUGGGAUGCAGCUCCUAGUGUUUUCAAGCGUCUUACAGAUGGAGAUCAGCCCCGUCUUCCUCCAACAUCCCCAUCCCACAUCGGAGUCAGGACUCCACGGUGCUGUGGUCAGCACGGCUGCACGGUCCUGCAACCCUGAGCCCCAGUGGGCUCUGACUGUGGUUACCAGCGCCUUAGGAGACAGAAUAACAGUCUGGAAGCAGAAACAGAGACUGUCCAUUUCAUAAACAGCCACAUCCACAAGGUUUAUUCCUGGAUCACAAACCAACCCCACUGACCAAACUCCCAAGUCACUUUAUAUUAAACUUGUUAUCAAAUCGCCCACAUAAAUAUAUAUAAUAAAUACAAAAA
rnacentral:lncRNA from 1 species